rnacentral:rRNA from 1 species
GACGGUCUUGCUGUCACUUAUAGAUGGAUCCGCGCUGCAUUAGCUAGUUGGUAAGGUAACGGCUUACCAAGGCAACGAUGCAUAGCCGACCUGAGAGGGUGAUCGGCCACACUGGAACUGAGACACGGUCCAGACUCCUACGGGAGGCAGCAGUAGGGAAUCUUCCGCAAUGGGCGAAAGCCUGACGGAGCAACGCCGCGUGAGUGAUGAAGGUCUUCGGAUCGUAAAACUCUGUUAUUAGGGAAGAACAUAUGUGUAAGUAACUGUGCACAUCUUGACGGUACCUAAUCAGAAAGCCACGGCUAACUACGUGCCAGCAGCCGCGGUAAUACGUAGGUGGCAAGCGUUAUCCGGAAUUAUUGGGCGUAAAGCGCGCGUAGGCGGUUUUUUAAGUCUGAUGUGAAAGCCCACGGCUCAACCGUGGAGGGUCAUUGGAAACUGGAAAACUUGAGUGCAGAAGAGGA